CAUGGUUGGGAGCACUGCACACGUUACUAGCGGAGCUCUGACAGUUCGAGCAGAGAGGCAUUAAUUGCUCUUGGGGGCCUCCUAGUGGUCACGGGGCCCUAAGCAGCUGCUUUGUUCGCUUAUGCCUUGGGCCGGCCCUGCCUACAAGUUCCUGGGGGUGACACUCAACAAAAAACUGGACUGGACGGACCACAUUCAGGCCCUCUACUAGAAAGGACAGAGCAGGCUGUUCUUUCUGAAGAGGCUCAGGUCAUUCAACGUGUGCCUUCAGCUACUACGGAUGUUCUACCAGUCUGUAGUGGCCAGUGUCCUCUUCUUUGCAGUGGUCUGUUGGAGUGGAGGCAUCAGCACUGGGAGUUAGAGUUAGGGCUUAGCUUAGCAAGCUGGUGAGGAAGGCCAGCUCGGUGGUGGGGAUGGAGCUGGACAGUGUGGAGGCUGUGAGUGAGAAGAGGAUGAGAGGACAGCUGAAAGCCAUCAUGGAGCCUCAGCUCUCUAGACUGAGCUGAGGCAGCUCAGGAACACUUUCAGCUACAGACUGACCCAGCUCCGAGCCUCAAAGCGGUUUGGAGGCUUGUUUGUUCCAUAUGCCAUCAGACUCCACAACGCCACAGCACCCAGUACCUCCAACCCCCGCAGACAAAGACUGGUUUAAAACUACAACGCACAAAUCUUUUGCACUAUUUAUAUUUAAUUUUGACUUGUACAGUUUAGUUUUUAGAUUUUUAGUUUUAGUCAAGUUUAAUUUUCUGCUCAUAUUUUGCACUCCAUGUCCUACUUGAACAAUGUGUAUAUACUUUCAUUUAUAGUUUUAUAUCUUCUAUUAUAUUUAGUAUUUUGUAAUAUUUUUAUUUGUGAUAUUCUUUGUUCUCUGUUUUGCACUACUUUGCCCUAUUGCUGCUGUGUCAACCUGAAUUUCUCCUAAAGGGGAUUAAUAAAGGAAUAUCUUAUCUUAUGA